UCUCCGUAGGUGAACCUGCGGAAGGAUCAUUAAAAAUGAAGCCGGGAAACCGGUCCUUCUAACCCUUGAUUAUCUUAAUUUGUUGCUUUGGUGGGCCGCGCAAGCACCGGCUUCGGCUGGAUCGUGCCCGCCAGAGGACACAACUCUGUAUCAAAUGUCGUCUGAGUACUAUAAAAUAGUUAAAACUUUCAACAACGGAUCUCUUGGUUCUG
rnacentral:misc_RNA from 1 species